GGGCCAACAACCAACAACCAGCACCGGCGCGAGUUGCAUUCAUCCUGUUCCGGGUCUGCUCCUGCUCUUCUGCAUUCUGCGCUACCCUGGUGCCGGUUCAGGUGCGCUACCAUGUGGGCUGCUUGCAUUCUAUUAUCUGCCACGGUUUCACCCGGCCAGGACCCGGCGCGGGCACGCUAGAAGGCGUAUAGACAAUCGGUGUGAUUGUGAGCAGAUAACUAUAGAUAGACACUAUCAUAUCUGCAAGAUAGGGGGCCCCCCAAACCCGAGGUCCCGGGCGCCCGGGGUGGGUAAGGUAAGCAGAUAAAACGCCCCGGGGUGGGCCCAGGCCACAAGAUUGCGGGUUUUAGAUUCGGUCUUUCCUACUGCCUACUGGCGCGACUGAGGAGUGCAGUAUGCGAUAUGCUAUGCUACGGUGUGUGCUGCUAGCGUGCUACUUUUCGUGCGCCGUGCUUUGAACCGUGUGCCUCAGUUCGAUCGCAACCAGGGACCUCAAAAGGUGGGUCCUUUUGUGCGCCGCUUCGCUUUCGCUUUCGCAGCGUCUGAUCCUAGUGUAGUACCGUUUCGGGGGCUAGUGCACACCACGUGUUGGCUCUAACGGAGCUGGUGAUACGGUUCAUCGGUGUCGAUCCUGUGCCGUGCUCAUUGGUGGCGAGAGAUGAAGAUUUCAUCGAGGUGAUCGAGUGCAUCAUGUGAUCUGUUUGUACGUCAGGUGAUCUGAAGCUCGUCCGGUGGCUUAAGAAAGUCACAGAAAACGGGCAUAAAUUGCAGUGUUGUGCAGAGUUGUGUUGCUCUGGAGGCGCAGUAAAAGUACGGAGAAAGACGUGGCGCAUUGUGUUUCGAUCUGCGUCACUGCGCGCAUUCGUCAUACGCCGCCCGUGUGUGUCGCCAUCAGCGAGCUGAGUAUAUAUCGAAGUAGAAGGACAUAACCGUUAUCUAUAUCACGCCCCAUAUUGUGCGAUACGAAGGGUAUGAUACGCAACGGUUAUAUAUACACCCGUCUUAUCACUCGCCCAGUUCUCACAAACACCAAUUACUACCACCGCGAUUGUGUGCACUCGUGAUUGCUGGUUGUGUGGCAAUGUGAAUUUUCUGCGCGUACCCACGCCGCUGAUGUCAGGCGUGGAUUGUGAAUUGGUAAUAAACUUGCAAACACAGCAAACAACGUGUGAUCGAUGAUCGAUGCUACUGGCCGCAGAAGUAUCCUCUAUCUAGACAUCGAGACCACGGUGGGACGAUUGAUGUUGUGCUUGCUCUCGAUCAGCUCCUGUGACGAAUGAGCCUGCUCGCUCUGCUCAUCUUCGGGGAUCGACGGGCUGCGGCUGUGGUG